rnacentral:rRNA from 1 species
CCCUAUGGGGUGCAGCAGUCGCGAAAACUCCGCAAUGCGCGAAAGCGUGACGGGGCUACCCCGAGUGCCGUCCGCUGAGGAUGGCUUUUCCCCGGUGUAAUGAGCCGGGGGAAUAAGGAGAGGGCAAGUCUGGUGUCAGCCGCCGCGGUAAUACCAGCUCUCCGAGUGGUAGGGACGAUUAUUGGGCUUAAAGCGUCCGUAGCCGGCUUAGCAAGUCUCCUGUUAAAUUCAGCGACCUAAUCGUUGAGCCGCGGGAGAUACUACUAGGCUAGGAGGCGGGAGAGGCCGACGGUAUUCUCGGGGUAGGGGUGAAAUCCUAUAAUCCCGGGAGGACCACCAGUGGCGAAGGCUGUCGGCUAGAACGCGCUCGACGGUGAGGGACGAAAGCUGGGGGAGCGAACCGGAUUAGAUACCCGGGUAGUCCCAGCUGUAAACGAUGCGGGCUAGGUGUUGGGGUGGCUACGAGCCACUUCAGUGCCGCAGGGAAGCCAUUAAGCCCGCCGCCUGGGGAGUACGGCCGCAAGGCUGAAACUUAAAGGAAUUGGCGGGGGAGCACCACAAGGCGUGAAGCUUGCGGUUCAAUUGGAGUCAACGCCGGGAACCUUACCGGGGGCGACAGCAGGAUGAAGGCCAGAUUGAAGGUCUUGCUGGACAAGCUGAGAAGAAGUGCAUGGCC